UUGCACGCUGGCGGCAGGCCUAACACAUGCAAGUCGAACGGUAACAGGAAGCAGCUUGCUGCUUCGCUGACGAGUGGCGGACGGGUGAGUAAUGUCUGGGAAACUGCCUGAUGGAGGGGGAUAACUACUGGAAACGGUAGCUAAUACCGCAUAACGUCGCAAGACCAAAGAGGGGGACCUUAGGGCCUCUUGCCAUCGGAUGUGCCCAGAUGGGAUUAGCUAGUAGGUGGGGUAACGGCUCACCUAGGCGACGAUCCCUAGCUGGUCUGAGCGGAUGACCAGCCACACUGGAACUGAGACACGGUCCAGACUCCUACGGGAGGCAGCAGUGGGGAAUAUUGCACAAUGGGCGCAAGCCUGAUGCAGCCAUGCCGCGUGUAUGAAGAAGGCCUUCGGGUUGUAAAGUACUUUCAGCGGGGAGGAAGGGAGUAAAGUUAAUACCUUUGCUCAUUGACGUUACCCGCAGAAGAAGCACCGGCUAACUCCGUG
rnacentral:rRNA from 1 species